rnacentral:rRNA from 1 species
UACGUAGGGGGCGAGCGUUGUCCGGAUUUAUUGGGCGUAAAGAGCUCGUAGGCGGUUUGGUAAGUCGGGUGUGAAAUCUCCACGCUCAACGUGGAGGGGCCACUCCAUACUGCCAUGACUCGAGUCCGGUAGAGGAGUGUGGAAUUCCCGGUGUAGCGGUGAAAUUCGUAGAUAUUCGGGAGAACACCAGUGGCGAAGGCGGCUCACUGGACCGGUAUUGACGCUGAGGUGCGAAAGCGUGGGGAGCAAACAGG